AGAGUUUGAUCCUGGCUCAGGACGAACGCUGGCGGCGUGCCUAAUACAUGCAAGUCGAACGCUUCUUUUUCCACCGGAGCUUGCUCCACCGGAAAAAGAGGAAUGGCGAACGGGUGAGUAACACGUGGGUAACCUGCCCAUCAGAAGGGGAUAACACUUGGAAACAGGUGCUAAUACCGUAUAACAAUCGAAACCGCAUGGUUUUGAUUUGAAAGGCGCUUUCGGGUGUCGCUGAUGGAUGGACCCGCGGUGCAUUAGCUAGUUGGUGAGGUAACGGCUCACCAAGGCGACGAUGCAUAGCCGACCUGAGAGGGUGAUCGGCCACAUUGGGACUGAGACACGGCCCAAACUCCUACGGGAGGCAGCAGUAGGGAAUCUUCGGCAAUGGACGAAAGUCUGACCGAGCAACGCCGCGUGAGUGAAGAAGGUUUUCGGAUCGUAAAACUCUGUUGUUAGAGAAGAACAAGGAUGAGAGUAACUGUUCAUCCCUUGACGGUAUCUAACCAGAAAGCCACGGCUAACUACGUGCCAGCAGCCGCGGUAAUACGUAGGUGGCAAGCGUUGUCCGGAUUUAUUGGGCGUAAAACGAGCGCAGGCGGUUUCUUAAGUCUGAUGUGAAAGCCCCCGGCUCAACCGGGGAGGGUCAUUGGAAACUGGGAGACUUGAGUGCAGAAGAGGAGAGUGGAAUUCCAUGUGUAGCGGUGAAAUGCGUAGAUAUAUGGAGGAACACCAGUGGCGAAGGCGGCUCUCUGGUCUGUAACUGACGCUGAGGCUCGAAAGCGUGGGGAGCAAACAGGAUUAGAUACCCUGGUAGUCCACGCCGUAAACGAUGAGUGCUAAGUGUUGGAGGGUUUCCGCCCUUCAGUGCUGCAGCUAACGCAUUAAGCACUCCGCCUGGGGAGUACGACCGCAAGGUUGAAACUCAAAGGAAUUGACGGGGGCCCGCACAAGCGGUGGAGCAUGUGGUUUAAUUCGAAGCAACGCGAAGAACCUUACCAGGUCUUGACAUCCUUUGACCACUCUAGAGAUAGAGCUUCCCCUUCGGGGGCAAAGUGACAGGUGGUGCAUGGUUGUCGUCAGCUCGUGUCGUGAGAUGUUGGGUUAAGUCCCGCAACGAGCGCAACCCUUAUUGUUAGUUGCCAUCAUUUAGUUGGGCACUCUAGCAAGACUGCCGGUGACAAACCGGAGGAAGGUGGGGAUGACGUCAAAUCAUCAUGCCCCUUAUGACCUGGGCUACACACGUGCUACAAUGGGAAGUACAACGAGUCGCAAAGUCGCGAGGCUAAGCUAAUCUCUUAAAGCUUCUCUCAGUUCGGAUUGUAGGCUGCAACUCGCCUACAUGAAGCCGGAAUCGCUAGUAAUCGCGGAUCAGCACGCCGCGGUGAAUACGUUCCCGGGCCUUGCACUCACCGCCCGUCA
rnacentral:rRNA from 1 species